AUUGAACGCUGGCGGCAGGCCUAACACAUGCAAGUCGCACGAGUGGCGGACGGGUGAGUAAUGUCUGGGAAACUGCCUGAUGGAGGGUGAUAACUACUGGAAACGGUAGCUAAUACCGCAUACCAUCAGCUUUGCCCAGAUGGGAUUAGCUUGUUGGUGGGUUAAAGGCUCACAAAGGCGACGAUCCCUAGCUGGUCUGAGAGGAUGACCAUCCACACUGGAACUGAGACACGUUCCAGACUCCUACGUGAGGCAGCAGUGGGGAAUAUUGCACACUGGGCGCAAGCCUGAUGCAGCCAGGCCGCGUGUAUGAAGAAGGCCUUCGGGUUGUAAAGUACUUUCAGCGGGGAGGCGUUACCCGCAGAAGAAGCACCGGCUAACUCCGUGCCAGCAGCCGCGGUAAUUC
rnacentral:rRNA from 1 species